rnacentral:rRNA from 1 species
UGGGGAAUAUUGGACAAUGGGGGAAACCCUGAUCCAGCAACGCCGCGUGGAGGAUGAAGGCCUUCGGGUUGUAAACUCCUGUCAGGAGGGGCGAAAGGCCGGUGGCGAACAGUCAUCGGCUCUGACGGUACCUCCAGAGGAAGCCCCGGCUAACUCUGUGCCAGCAGCCGCGGUAAUACAGAGGGGGCGAGCGUUAUUCGGAAUCAUUGGGCGUAAAGGGCGCGUAGGCGGCUUGGCAAGUCAAAGGUGAAAUCCCUCGGCUCAACCGAGGAACUGCCUUUGAAACUGCCUCGCUCGAGGCCGGGAGAGGGUAGUGGAAUUCCCAGUGUAGCGGUGAAAUGCGUAGAUAUUGGGAGGAACACCGGUGGCGAAGGCGGCUACCUGGACCGGUUCUGACGCUGAGGCGCGAAAGCGUGGGGAUCAAACAGG